rnacentral:lncRNA from 1 species
AGUCCUCCUUCCAAGAAUGUGUUAAGUCCCUGGUAAGUGUACCAGAUCGUUAUCAAGUAAUAUAAAACGGGUAAGUCCGAGUAUCGUUUCCCAAAGUACUCUUAGGCCUUAACUUUCAUGUAAACCAAUCGCAUAAGACUUGAGAAAAGAAUUAAAUUUAGGUUUUGAAUGCAAAGAACAAAAGUAAACAUGCAAGAUGCGGUGAAUCAAUUGGCGAGAAAAGACUAUGGAUGAAUGGAGUUGUUGGGGUUUACAAUUUCAUCUUAUCCACCCUCUUAUAUCUACUCUUCUUAUCUAAUUUGCUUAUUUAUCAUAUUGUCAUGCAAACUUUCUUAGUCUACCCUAAACCCAAUCUCUUGGCGAAAAAAGCCUAUUACUGUUAACAAAUUGGCAAGUGAUA